AGAAUCAACGCUGGCGGCGUGCCUAACACAUGCAAGUCGAACGAGAAAGUGGAGCAAUCCAUGAGUAAAGUGGCGCACGGGUGAGUAACACGUGACUAACCUACCCUUGAGUGGGGGAUAACCUAGAGAAAUCUGGGCUAAUACCGCAUAAUACCUUCGGGUCAAAGGAGCAAUUCGCUUAAGGAGGGGGUCGCGGCCGAUUAGUUAGUUGGCGGGGUAAUGGCCCACCAAGACUGUGAUCGGUAUCCGGCCUGAGAGGGCGCACGGACACACUGGAACUGAAACACGGUCCAGACUCCUACGGGAGGCAGCAGUGGGGAAUUUGCGCAAUGGGGGAAACCCUGACGCAGCAACGCCGCGUGGAGGAUGAAGCCCUUGGGGCGUAAACUCCUUUCGAUCGGGAAGAUAAUGACGGUACCGAGAGAAGAGCCCCGGCUAACUUCGUGCCAGCAGCCCGC
rnacentral:rRNA from 1 species